UUAAGGCCCAAAUCCUAGUCUGCACUCUGGCUAUUUGCAUACCUAAACCCAGCAGAUCCAGCUCCGGAGAAUCUCCCCUAUGCAGGGGGAAAACUCAGACAGCAUAGCAUCACUAUAGCCUAAUAGCAUCCAGCUACCAGCAUAAGGGGGAUAGCUGUGGACAAGGGGAAUACACAAGGUUUGCCUAUGUCCUGGCAAUUUCUGGAUAUCAUAGCAUACCAGCUGAUGUAUGUUAAAGCAACCUUUGGGGACAGUGGGCACAGGAUCAGUGAGCCCAAUUCUCCUGUUACACUAGUCAGCUAUGGAGCAAUUCCAUUAAAUUAUUCAAGUUUUACGCUACUGUAAUAGAACAAAGUCAAAAGUUGAGAAUUCUAAAGGUUCAAUUAUUCUCUCAGGACUAUCUGACAUUAGGAGUAGUAGCAGAUGACAAGUGCUGAGAUGGUGUCCUCUGGGGAAUUGGACUGAAUCUUGUGUAAUACCUCAAGGCCCAGAAUGAUAUCAAGCUUUUCAGAAGGUCAUUCAAUGCCUUUUUCCACUAUCCAAGGAAAAAU